rnacentral:rRNA from 1 species
CGACCGCUGGCGGCGUGCUUACCACAUGCAAGUCGAACGGUGAAGCGCCUUCCUUUUUGGUGGGUGUGGAUGAGUGGCGAACGGGUGAGUAACACGUGAGUAACCUGCCCCCUUCUUCUGGAUAACCGCAUGAAAGUGUGGCUAAUACGGGAUAUUCUGGGUCUGUCGCAUGAUGGGUCUGGGAAAGAUAUUGUUUCGGUGGGGGAUGGGCUCGCGGCCUAUCAGCUUGUUGGUGGGGUGAUGGCCUACCGAGGCGGUGACGGGUAGCCGGCCUGAGAGGGUGGACGGUCACACUGGGACUGAGACACGGCCCAGACUCCUACGGGAGGCAGCAGUGGGGAAUAUUGCACAAUGGGCGCAAGCCUGAUGCAGCGACGCCGCGUGAGGGAUGGAGGCCUUCGGGUUGUGAACCUCUUUCGCCAGUGAAGCAGGCCUGCCUCGUUUGUGGGUGGGUUGACGGUAGCUGGAUAAGAAGCGCCGGCUAACUACGUG